rnacentral:rRNA from 1 species
GAUGAACGCUGGCGGCGUGCCUAAUACAUGCAAGUCGAGCGAACAGACGAGGAGCUUGCUCCUUUGACGUUAGCGGCGGACGGGUGAGUAACACGUGGGUAACCUACCUAUAAGACUGGGAUAACUUCGGGAAACCGGAGCUAAUACCGGAUAAUAUUUCGAACCGCAUGGUUCGAUAGUGAAAGAUGGCUUUGCUAUCACUUAUAGAUGGAUCUGCGCCGUAUUAGCUAGUUGGUAAGGUAACGGCUUACCAAGGCAACGAUACGUAGCCGACCUGAGAGGGUGAUCGGCCACACUGGAACUGAGACACGGUCCAGACUCCUACGGGAGGCAGCAGUAGGGAAUCUUCCGCAAUGGGCGAAAGCCUGACGGAGCAACGCCGCGUGAGUGAUGAAGGUCUUCGGAUCGUAAAACUCUGUUAUUAGGGAAGAACAAAUGUGUAAGUAACUAUGCACGUCUUGACGGUACCUAAUCAGAAAGCCACGGCUAACUACGUG